rnacentral:tRNA from 1 species
CGGGGUGUAGCUCAGCCCGGUUAGAGUGCUUGGUUUGGGACCAAGAGGCCGGCGGUUCAAAUCCGCCCACCCCGA